UACGUAGGGUGCAAGCGUUAAUCGGAAUUACUGGGCGUAAAGCGUGCGCAGGCGGUUAUGUAAGACAGAUGUGAAAUGCCCGGGCUUAACCUGGGAACUGCAUUUGUGACUGCAUGGCUAGAGUUUGGCAGAGGGGGGUAGAAUUCCACGUGUAGCAGUGAAAUGCGUAGAGAUGUGGAGGAAUACCGAUGGCGAAGGCAGCCCCCUGAGUCAAUACUGACGCUCAUGCACGAAAGCGUGGGGAGCAAACAGG
rnacentral:rRNA from 1 species